AUUGAACGCUGGCGGCAGGCCUAACACAUGCAAGUCGAACGAGUGGCGGACGGGUGAGUAAUGUCUGGGAAACUGCCCGAUGGAGGGGGAUAACUCCUGGAAACGGUAGCUAAUACCGCAUCCCCUCGGAUGUGCCCAGAUGGGAUUAGCUCGGAGGUGAGGUAACGGCUCACCGAGGCGACGAUCCCUAGCUGGUCUGAUAGGAUGACAAGGAAUACUGGAAAUGAGACACGGGCCAGACUCCGACGGGAGGCAGCAGGGGUGAAUAUUGCACAAUGGGCGCAAGACGGAUGUAGCCAUGCCGCGUGUAUGAAGAAGGCCUUCGGGUUGUAAAGGACUUUCAGCGGGGAGGCGUUACCCGCAGAAGAAGCACAGGCUAACUCCGUGACAGCAGAAGCGGUAAUAC
rnacentral:rRNA from 1 species